GCGGUCUGCACACCCAGGUCAGGGGCAGUGCCCCGGGGAGCCUGGGGUCUCCAGGAUGUCACAGAUGCCCCCUUCCAGCUCCCACAGAGGUGACUAGGAAAGGGGCACCAGAGGACAUCCCGCCCCCAGCAAGCCUGACCGGGACCGCGGACCCUCCACAGAAAGGAAACCCAGCCGAUGGCCAGAGCCAAGCCACUGCUCCACCUGUCUGCCCGCCGGAUGCCCCUCCUGCUGGCCCCGGGCUGGGCCCCACGGGGGCAGGAGCCGGCAGCUGCAGACGCCAGGCCCCUCCUUCAGUCCACGGAGAGCGACAGGACAGCAGGCUGCGCGCACAGCCAGAGGGGACCUAGGAGCACGGGGUCCUGCGGGGCAAGCCAAGACAGCGUCCUGGAUGCCACCCCUGGCCUUGAAGUCCAGCCUCAGGGCACAGGUGACCUGGGCCAGCUCUGGGACCCAGGUCCCCUAUCCCUCACCACAGAGCUGCCUGCUGCCCUGUGCCCACGUGGGUCCUCGUCCCCGCAGAGGCCUGGCAUCAGCGUCCUGCCCGCCCCAGGCUGGCACGGCGGAGCAGCCUCACAACCCCACCUACCGGACUCCAGCCAGUGGCUCCUGGUGGCUCCGGCUGCGGCUCCGCCCCAGAGCGUGGCCCAGGAGCAGCCCACCCUCACCUGCCCCUGCGG